rnacentral:lncRNA from 1 species
UUCCCACCUCCUUGGUUGUGCAUUGUUUACGUCAGUCAGGUUUCGUGUUCCCUGUGGUUUCUUUGGUCUUCCUGUUUCUUUUUUUUUCAGUUUCUUGUUUCUUGUUGGUUUAUUUAUGUAUGUUUAAUAAACAGUCAUGCCCACUCUUCUCCUCCUUUCUCCUGCUUCUCCGUACCUGUCGGUAUGUAAUGUAGUAUAUAUUUCAAGCCAUUUUUAAUUUUAAAGUUACAUUUGGUAGACUAAGCCAGGUCGACUUAAACACAUCUUACAUUAACACAGAUUAUAUUGAGCAGUUCUAAAAAAGAAAAUAGACAGUAAGACAAUAGUUAAAGAUAAGCGGCCUCAGAUAAUAAUAAUGAUUGUGUAAUCAAAAAAUUUAGAAUUUCCCUUGUACAUGUUGAGAACACAAUAUUUAGAAUUAUGUUACUCAAAUAUUUUAUAAACUUUUUAGAUUUGUGUACAUUCAGAUGAAAUCUGACUUUGUAAUGUACUGUAUUUAAGUUUUGUUCAGUCUGUUAUCACUGAGAACUGGAGAGAUUGGCUCAAAGAACUGUUAAUAAAACUUGUAACACAUUAUAAUAAAGGUUUUGUGCAGUAUUUCACGAGUAAGUAAUCAUUAAUUCAUGCACAUAAUACAUCAUGAGUCAUCAUAAAUAUUCAUGAAGUAAGCAUGCCUCACACAUGUGUUUGUGUAAUAGUUAAGGAACAAAUGUCACUUCUUUAUGAGUUCAUGAUGUUUAUGGCCUUCAAAGUUAAAUGGUAUCAUAUCCAGCAUUACCUAACUAUUGCUUCGUCAUAAAUGAUUUUACAGCUGCUGAUAAAACUGCUUAGACCGGUCUGACUUACACCUGAGCUGUGCUGGUUUAUUGGUUGUGCUGAAAGUGAAAGCAAUUUGUGUACCUCUGCAUUUUAUUCUGGGCUGCAAGAAGAAAACACCUCUGUGUUGGGGAGUAUUCAAAGCUACAUUUUCAAAGCAGAAGACUACAUUUUAUCAAAUAUGUCAGACUACCAGUAUGCUGUGUAUUUUGUGGCAAGUAACCUCUUAAAGGAAGAUCUGAAAAAGAUCAGACAGUACUUUCAGAUCAGGCGUCGUUCUGGAGGGGGAGAAUGUGGAGACGUGGAGAAAAUAAGGGAGAACUUCUACAGGAUAGCCUUUGAGGAGGAAGCAGACCAGAAACGAGUGUUAAGAAAAAAGGAUCAUACUAUCCAGCUGUCUGUACAAAGAAAUCUGCAAAUCACUUUAAGCUGCAAUGAGAUACAAGAGGAUAACAGUUUUGCACAGACUGCGUCAGGUCAACAGACAGCCUCGAGUUGUAAACCAGUGGAAAAGAUUUUGAAAUUGGAUUCUUAUCUUCUGCGAUUCCUGAAAGAAAAUAAAAAAGCAUCCUUGGACUUGGAGAAACGCCUUUCCUCUCUAAACUGCUCCUUUAAAUUAGACCUGGACUCUGAGAAAGUAGUGGUAGUAAAAGAUGAAGUCAAGUCUGAUGAAGAUGAUAUUGCCCUUGAUAAGUGGAAAGCAAAGGUUGAGGACGUGUUUUUCGAGCUGCAGUACCUCUAUGACAUCUAUUUUGAGUUUAACCCUGAGACGCUAAUGAUCCUCAAGCAAAACACCUUCUUACCCACAGAACAACUUGGAAUCUAUAGAGAAGAAAAUAUAUUUGUAAUUGUGGGAGAACCUAUGGAGCUGCAGAAGCUCCUAAAAGCCAUGAAGUUGCAACAGCAGAUCUGUAAAGAGUGUCUUGUGUCUGAAGCAAAUUUUGAUCUUGUGAAAGAGCAGUUCAGGCUGGAAAUACAGUCAAAUUUUUCAGAGAUCAACAUUGCACAAGACAGGCCUGGCUCUGUUGUUCUUAAAGGUCCUAAGGAGCAAGUUGAAGCUGCAGGGUCAAAGCUUCAGGAGCUGUUGAGUCAAAUUCAAGAGAAAAGGAUUCAUCUUCAUCAAGCCCUCACAACAUUCUUGUCAUCAAGUGGUGCUAUACAAAAGUUCCAGGUGCGAUUCCAACAGAGUCUACGCAGUCCAGUUCGGUUUGAGACCAGAAAUU